rfam:Schistosoma rodhaini strain Burundi genome assembly, scaffold: SROB_scaffold0000529
AUCCAGCUGACGAGUCCCGUAUGGGACAAAACACUCGUCCUAGAU